GCACCAGACUCCUACGGGAGGCAGCAGUGGGGAAUCUUCCGCAAUGGGCGAAAGCCUGACGGAGCAACGCCGCGUGAUCGAAUGAAGGCCUUCGGGUUGUAAAGAUCUGUUGACAGGGACGAAUAAGCAAUGCGAAUAGUUUUAUGUAUGACGGUACCUGUUUAGAAAGCUCCGGCUAACUACGUGCCAGCAGCCGCGGUAAUACGGAGGAUGCGAGCGUUAUCCGGAUUUAUUGGGUUUAAAGGGUGCGUAGGCGGGAUGCCAAGUCAGCGGUAAAAAUGCGGUGCUCAACGCCGUCGAGCCGUUGAAACUGGCGUUCUUGAGUGGGCGAGAAGUAUGCGGAAUGCGUGGUGUAGCGGUGAAAUGCAUAGAUAUCACGCAGAACUCCGAUUGCGAAGGCAGCAUACCGGCGCCCUACUGACGCUGAGGCACGAAAGCGUGGGUAUCGAACAGGAUUAAAUACCCGUGUA
rnacentral:rRNA from 1 species